CAGUCGCCACGGGAAUACGUAGGGUGCGAGCGUUAAUCGGAAUUACUGGGCGUAAAGCGUGCGCAGGCGGUUAUGUAAGACAGGUGUGAAAUCCCCGGGCUUAACCUGGGAACUGCGCUUGUGACUGCACAGCUAGAGUAUGGCAGAGGGGGGUGGAAUUCCACGUGUAGCAGUGAAAUGCGUAGAGAUGUGGAGGAACACCGAUGGCGAAGGCAGCCCCUGGGCCAAUACUGACGCUCAUGCACGAAAGCGUGGGGAGCAAACAGGAUUAGAUACCCCUGUAGUCCCUGUCUCUUAUACC
rnacentral:rRNA from 1 species